rnacentral:rRNA from 1 species
GGUGAUCUAGCCAUGGGCAGGUUGAAGGUUGGGUAACACUAACUGGAGGACCGAACCGACUAAUGUUGAAAAAUUAGCGGAUGACCUGUGGCUGGGGGUGAAAGGCCAAUCAAACCGGGAGAUAGCUGGUUCUCCCCGAAAGCUAUUUAGGUAGCGCCUCGUGAAUUCAUCUCCGGGGGUAGAGCACUGUUUCGGCUAGGGGGCCAUCCCGGCUUACCAACCCGAUGCAAACUGCGAAUACCGGAGAAUGUUAUCACGGGAGACACACGGCGGGUGCUAACGUCCGUCGUGAAGAGGGAAACAACCCAGACCGCCAGCUAAGGUCCCAAAGUCAUGGUUAAGUGGGAAACGAUGUGGGAAGGCCCAGACAGCCAGGAUGUUGGCUUAGAAGCAGCCAUCAUUUAAAGAAAGCGUAAUAGCUCACUGGUCGAGUCGGCCUGCGCGGAAGAUGUAACGGGGCUAAACCAUGCACCGAAGCUGCGGCAGCGACACUCAGGUGUUGUUGGGUAGGGGAGCGUUCUGUAAGCCUGCGAAGGUGGCCUGUGAGGGUUGCUGGAGGUAUCAGAAGUGCGAAUGCUGACAUAAGUAACGAUAAAGCGGGUGAAAAGCCCGCUCGCCGGAAGACCAAGGGUUCCUGUCCAACGUUAAUCGGGGCAGGGUGAGUCGACCCCUAAGGCGAGGCCGAAAGGCGUAGUCGAUGGGAAACGGGUUAAUAUUCCCGUACUUGGUGUUACUGCGAAGGGGGGACGGAGAAGGCUAUGUUGGCCGGGCGACGGUUGUCCCGGUUUAAGCGUGUAGGUGUGUGUUCCAGGUAAAUCCGGUUCACUUUAACACUGAGGCGUGACGACGAGGCACUACGGUGCUGAAGCAACAAAUGCCCUGCUUCCAGGAAAAGCCUCUAAGCAUCAGGUAACAUCAAAUCGUACCCCAAACCGACACAGGUGGUCAGGUAGAGAAUACCAAGGCGCUUGAGAGAACUCGGGUGAAGGAACUAGGCAAAAUGGUGCCGUAACUUCGGGAGAAGGCACGCUGACA